UGAUGAACACGUAAGAAUUGCCUUGAGGGACAACAACUGGAACGGUUGCUAUACCCAUAUGCUUUCGAGUGAAAUGGAUUUUCCGCCUAGAGAGAAGCUUGCGGCUGAUUAGCUUGUUGGUGAGGUAAUGGCUCACCAAGGCGACGAUCAGUAUCUGGUUUGAGAGGACGAUCAGACACACUGGAACUGAGACACGGUCCAGACUCCUACGGGAGGCAGCAGUGGGGAAUUUUCCGCAAUGGGCGAAAGCNUGACGGAGCAAUCUCGCGUGAGGGAUGACUGCCUAUGGGUUGUAAACCUCUUUUUUCAGGGAGGAAUAAAUGACG
rnacentral:rRNA from 1 species